rnacentral:rRNA from 1 species
CCUACGGGAGGCAGCAGUGGGGAAUCUUGCGCAAUGGGCGAAAGCCUGACGCAGCAACGCCGCGUGCGGGAUGAAGGCCCUCGGGUUGUAAACCGCUUUCAGCAGGGACGAAAAUGACGGUACCUGCAGAAGAAGCCCCGGCUAACUACGUGCCAGCAGCCACGGUAAUACGUAGGGGGCAAGCGUUGUCCGGAUUUAUUGGGCGUAAAGAGCUCGUAGGCGGUUCCGUAAGUCGAGUGUGAAAAAUCUGGGCUCAACCCAGUGGAGCACUCGAUACUGCGGUGACUAGAGUACGGUAGAGGAGUGUGGAAUUCCUGGUGUAGCGGUGAAAUGCGCAGAUAUCAGGAGGAACACCAACGGCGAAGGCAGCACUCUGGGCCGGUACUGACGCUGAGGAGCGAAAGCGUGGGGAGCAAACAGGAUUAGAUACCCUGGUAGUCCACGCCGUAAACGUUGGGCACUAGGUGUGGGAAGGAAUCAACCCUUUCCGUGCCGUAGCUAACGCAUUAAGUGCCCCGCCUGGGGAGUACGGCCGCAAGGCUAAAACUCAAAGGAAUUGACGG